rnacentral:sRNA from 1 species
UUCAUUUAAUAAAAAAAUUAAUAAUUAAACUAGAACUCAAACCCCUCGUGAUAUCGCAGAGAAAAAUAUUAUAAAAGACACAAGUGUUUUGGAGUCAAAUAUGACUAGAUGUCAUGUGUAUGAGUGAGUAUAACAACUAAAACCGCAACCGAAUCUUAAAAGCCUAAGUAUUGUAUCCUGGUUAGAAGAUAUAAAGACAAAUACUCAUACGGACUUCGGCUACACCAUCAAAGUUUUGAGAAGCAAGAAGAAGCUUGUUAGUGUUUUGGAGUCGAAUAUGACUUGAUAUCAUGUGUAUGAUUGACUAAAAGAACUUAAACCGCAUCUAGAGCUUAAAUGGCCUAAGUAGUGUUUCCUUGUUUGACGACACAAAGCCAAAGACUCGUACGGAGUUUAGCUACACCAUCA